rnacentral:rRNA from 1 species
GAUCAUGGCUCAGGAUGAACGCUAGCGACAGGCCUAACACAUGCAAGUCGAGGGGCAGGGAAGAGGUAGCAAUACCUUUGCCGGCGACCGGCGCACUGGUGAGUAACACGUAUGCAAUCCACCUGCAACAGGGGGAUAACCCGGAGAAAUCCGGACUAAUACCCCAUAAUAUGGGCGCUCCGCAUGGAGAGCCCAUUAAAGAGAGCAAUUUUGGUUACAGACGAGCAUGCG